rnacentral:rRNA from 1 species
CGAACGCUGGCGGCGUGCUUAACACAUGCAAGUCGACCGGAAAGGCUCCAGCUUGCUGGAGUACUCGAGUGGCGAACGGGUGAGUAACACGUGGGUAAUCUGCCCUGCACUCUGGGAUAAGCCUGGGAAACUGGGUCUAAUACUGGAUAUGACCUUUCUCCUUAUGGGGUUUGGUGGAAAGUUUUUCGGUGUAGGAUGAGCCCGCGGCCUAUCAGCUUGUUGGUGGGGUGAUGGCCUACCAAGGCGACGACGGGUAGCCGGCCUGAGAGGGUGAUCGGCCACAUUGGGACUGAGAUACGGCCCAGACUCCUACGGGAGGCAGCAGUGGGGAAUAUUGCACAAUGGGCGGAAGCCUGAUGCAGCGACGCCGCGUGAGGGAUGACGGCCUUCGGGUUGUAAACCUCUUUCAGCAGGGACGAAGCGUAAGUGACGGUACCUGCAGAAGAAGCACCGGCUAACUACGUG